rnacentral:lncRNA from 1 species
AGAACCACUCCCGGUUAGGGGACAUAUGAUAGGUACAACCCGAAUCCAAUAUCCACUCAUCUGAAUGGAACGACGAUGAUGAUGCAACCAGUGAUAGUUCAGAGUCACUGGUAUCAUGCUUUGCAACACAAGCAUCUACAGCAGCUUUUCCCUUAUUCUUCAGCUUUGGACAAUUUUUCUUCCAAUGGCCUUUCUUAUGACAAAAAGCACAUUCAUCUUUCCCGAGUCUGGACUUUGACUUUGAUCUCCCCUUUUGAGUUUUCUUCC